GAUCCUGGCUCAGGAUGAACGCUAGCUACAGGCUUAACACAUGCAAGUCGAGGGGCAGCAUGGUCUUAGCUUGCUAAGACUGAUGGCGACCGGCGCACGGGUGAGUAACGCGUAUCCAACCUUCCCCAUAGUAGGGGAUAGCCCGGCGAAAGUCGGAUUAAUACCCUAUGUUAUUCGAUGCAGACAUCUAAGUUGAAUCAAAGGUUUACCGCUAUGGGAUGGGGGAUGCGUCUGAUUAGGUUGCAGGCGGGGUAACGGCCCACCUGGCCCACGAUCAGUAGGGGUUCUGAGAGGAAGGUCCCCCACAUUGGAACUGAGACACGGUCCAAACUCCUACGGGAGGCAGCAGUGAGGAAUAUUGGUCAAUGGACGAGAGCCUGAACCAGCCAAGUAGCGUGCAGGAUGACGGCCCUAUGGGUUGUAAACUGCUUUUAUGCGGGGAUAAAGUGAGGGACGUGUCCCUUUUUGUAGGUACCGCAUGAAUAAGGACCGGCUAAUUCCGUGCCAGCAGCCGC
rnacentral:rRNA from 1 species